UUUGUCUGUUUGUUCAUGUGAAUUGGCAUGUGUUUUGUUUUAAAUGUGAUGUGGAGGAAUGAGAACGUUCUCAGGGUCGGUGUGAUCGGACGCGAUGUCAGUCGGUCCGUUUGCUAUUGAAGACUUCCUAUCUCGUGUAAUGUGAUGAACGGUGAGCCAUUCAUUAUGAUCUCCGAGUGGCCCACUGGCUCUCUAACCCAAUCACAAGCUAGAAGCCCAGCUGUGAAAACCAGAGGAUCAGCCCACUACACAACAGAUAAGUGAGCAGUGUCGUUGGGCUCUAACGGUACACGCAGAAAGUAUGAGAACUUACGGAGAGAAUGCUCAUUGGAGAGAAUGAGCAUUCUUUAUGUCCAUGUGAUUUGCGCGCUGGGAAGAAGUGAACCUUCCUUGGUUCUCUAGGGAAGACACUAUACCGCUGGAACACGGAGAACUGCUACGAAAGGUUGGCGACCUCAUAUGGAGUUCACGUCAGUAGCUUCUGAGCAGAUGCCACUUGUUGACACAGUUCAAGGCAGCCUAUGUGAUUUAGUUUAGGACACUGUAUGAUAUUGGCUGAAAUCUAGGCAAACACUACAAGAACACAAACACCAUAUUGUUUUAUUGUCUAGGAGUUAAACCAGAGAGAUAGAGGAGUCCAGAGUGGUGUGAAAGUGAUUUAGCGAUGUGUUGCUGGCUGUGUUACAUGCCCGUCCCCGGGAGCUGUGUCUGUUCUGGUGAGUCUUGGCUAUGAGUGGGCUUAGCUAAUACAGCAAUGGGGUCCUUUCUGCAAACACAACGUCUGGCCGAGAGGAAGAGCGACGGGACAACGUAUUAUCUGUUCAUCUGGUUAAGAAAGACACCACUUCGCAGAUCAAGAUCAACACAAGUGAUGCUUUGAACGUCGACGAUCAAAAUGUUUUUUCGCUGACGGCUGAAUGGAUGGAUGCCGAUAUAUUUUCAAAUGAUUGGACUGUUGUUGAGAAUCAGUUGGAAAGCCAAGCCUAUACGGCAAAAAAAAAUAAUGAAUAAAAUAGCUUUUUUUUGUUACAUCUCAGCUCUUGACCACAAAACGUCAUGUGGAUAGGAAGAGAGGCCUCUUCAAACUCCUCGCCACGCUGAUGUGAAACUACAUUGUGUUUGGCCCUUCAGUCAGAGUGUCUGAAAUAGAGGCGUUUCACAACCUAAAUUGUGGUAAUUGAGUGCUCCAGACAAUAGUCUUAAUUAUGCUUGAGAGGAAUAACACCCUGCAGUCGAUUGGCAUGCAAAUGAGCCGGGGAGAAAAGGAAGCAAGGAAGGGAAGGGGGAAAUCGUACUCUGUCACCUGGAGGGAUGGAUGAUGGACGUGGAUUUAAUGUGGAAGUGAAUGAAGUGCUCUGUCAUUUCCCUGCGUUUUUCUCUGCAGAAGCAAUAGAAUGUUCAACACGCAGAGAGCGAUAACAAAAGAACACUCAAUGCUAAUGUGACUCUAUCAGCGUUUGUUAUUGUGGCAUAUCGUGUUGUGGAUUUGAGCUGCAUUUUGAGCUUUGAUUGUGUGUGUGUGUGUGUUUGUGUUUGUAUCUGUGUGUGCUCGCCCACACGUGUUUGUUCUGAAAUGCAGUGUGCAUGUAUGUGUGCUUGAGUAACUUUGCUUGUGGUGUGUGUGUGUGUAGAGCACUACUCCGCCCUGUGACCUGCUAUUCCACAGUCCGUCUCCAGCUCCCACCGUCUCAGCAGAGUAACACUGGAACAAUGAGAGGGAACUUGGCUUGGGUUCACAUCAGAGAUGUGAAAUCACAGCCGGACCAGGCCAGAGGAGCACAUAACACAUGAUCACUCUGGGUCAAAUGUUUCGCUGGUAGCAGCUAGCUGCCAAUAGCUUGCGAAGAAACUGGACUACUUAAGAACCGAAUUUAUUCAGAAGUGGAAUUUUUAUUUUUUACGGACAGCUGGAACUACAGAAUACAGUGGAAAUUGUGUCAUUUCUCUGCUGCUUGAUUACUCCACUCAUUUGAGAGACAGACACUCGCAUGUCAGAAAGAGAGAGCGAGAGAAAGAGGGGGAGAGAGAGAGAGAGAGAGAGAGAGAGAGACUGAGUCCGUCGAGAGAUUUGUUGUUCUGCUGAAUUCCUGGCAGUCCCCCGGCUUUGAGGCAGCCAUGCCAUUACACACGACUGGCUUCAGAGGUUUGGGCUGCUAGCCUGCUAGCCUGGAAUGUGCCAAUCAAACUCCCUCUAUACACUGAAUCUGAAGCUAAAUGUAUAGCUGUCCCGUUUUAUGAUGCACUGUUAGAAAAAAGGGUUAUUAAAGGGUUAUUUGGCUGUCCCCAUAGGAGAACCCUUUUUGGUUCCAGGUAGAACCCUUUUUGGUUCCAGGUAUAACCCUUUUUGGUUCCAGGUAUAACCCUUUUUGGUUCCAGGUAUAACCCUUUUUGGUUCCAGGUAGAACCAUUUUGGGUUCCAGGUAUAACCCUUUUUGGUUCCAGGUAUAACCCUUUUUGGUUCCAGGUAUAACCCUUUUUGGUUCCAGGUAUAACCCUUUUUGGUUCCAGGUAUAACCCUUUUUGGUUCCAGGUAUAACCCUUUUUGGUUCCAGGUAUAACCCUUUUUGGUUCCAGGUAGAACCAUUUUGGGUUUCAUGUAGAACCCGCUGUGGAAAGAGUUCUACUGGAACCUAAAACUGUUCUACUUGGAACCAAAAGGGUUCUACCGGGGACCAAAAAGGGUUCUUCAAAGGGUUCUCCUAUGGGCACAGAAAAAGAACCGUUUUACUUUCUAGAUGACAACUUUUUUCUAUGUAUGUGAGAGAAAAAAAACGCAUAUAAAUGUAAUACUACGUUUUA